AAUAGAUACCCGGGUAGUCCACGCCGUAAACGAUGAGUGCUAAGUGUUAGAGGGUUUCCGCCCUUUAGUGCUGCAGCUAACGCAUUAAGCACUCCGCCUGGGGAGUACGGCCGCAAGGCUGAAACUCAAAGGAAUUGACGGGGGCCCGCACAAGCGGUGGAGCAUGUGGUUUAAUUCGAAGCAACGCGAAGAACCUUACCAGGUCUUGACAUCCUCUGACAACCCUAGAGAUGGGGCUUUCCCCUUCGGGGGACAGAGUGACAGGUGGUGCAUGGUUGUCGUCAGCUCGUGUCGUGAGAUGUUGGGUUAAGUCCCGCAACGAGCGCAACCCUUGAUCUUAGUUGCCAGCAUUCAGUUGGGCACUCUAAGGUGACUGCCGGUGACAAACCGGAGGAAGGUGGGGAUGACGUCAAAUCAUCAUGCCCCUUAUGACCUGGGCUACACACGUGCUACAAUGGAUGGUACAAAGGGCUGCAAACCUGCGAGGGUAAGCGAAUCCCAUAAAGCCAUUCUCAGUUCGGAUUGCAGG
rnacentral:rRNA from 1 species